rnacentral:rRNA from 1 species
AUUGAACGCUGGCGGCAUGCUUUACACAUGCAAGUCGAACGGCAGCACGAAAGAGCUUGCUCUUUUGGUGGCGAGUGGCGCACGGGUGAGUAAUGCAUCGGAACGUACCGAGUAAUGGGGGAUAACUGUCCGAAAGGAUAGCUAAUACCGCAUACGCUUUGAGCAGGAAAGUGGGGGCUCUUCGGACCUCACUUUAUUCGAGCGGCCGAUGUCUGAUUAGCUAGUUGGUGGGGUAAAGGCCUACCAAGGCGACGAUCAGUAGCGGGUCUGAGAGGAUGAUCGGCCACACUGGAACUGAGACACGGUCCAGACUCCUAAGGGAGGCAGCAGUGGGGAAUUUUGGACAAUGGGCGCAAGCCUGAUCCAGCCAUGCCGCGUGUCUGAAGAAGGCCUUCGGGUUGUAAAGGACUUUUGUUAGGGAAGAAAAGGAUAGUGUUAAUACCAUUAUCUGCUGACGGUACCUAAAGAAUAAGCACCGGCUAACUACGUG